rnacentral:miRNA from 1 species
UUUUUAGUAUAGGCAUAUCCCAUGCGAUAUUUGGGACAUACUUAUGCUAAGA